rnacentral:lncRNA from 1 species
CAAAGUGUCCUUAUCACAAUGGCUUCACCCUGAACACUUGGCUUCCUGUGGAUCCAUUAAAUAACAUUAAUGUUGAUAAGGAUAAGCCUAAUCUUUAUUGUUUUGUACUAGCAAAGAAGUUGGCUAUUUUGCACAGUUUGUUGGCUCAAUAGUUACAUCAGCAAAGUCCAAAGGAAAAGGUUUUCAGCACUGUGGGAAAUAUGAUCUUCAACCAUGCAAGGUAGGUAAAAACUGUUGGUGUUCAAAUCCCAUCACAUUGGUAUGUCUUCUUUUAUAUAACAGUAUUUCCAUGGAAUCCUUCCUUGAUUUAUAAUGUUAUCAUAUGUAAUUAAUCCUUGCAGAGCAUUUAUUUUAGUAUUUCUAAUGGCAGUUAUUUCACU